CCAGUGAGGGAAUUAAGGACGGCACGUUGUCUUUGUAACAGGAUUCAGCAGGGUGGCCACUCAGUAAUCAGCACAAGUUAGAAUGUGGGCAAAUCGGCAAUCGUUGCGCAGGCACUUUCGUGACCCUAGAUAUCCUUGGGUCGAUCGCACGUCCCCAUGACGGCGACAACGCAUUCAGAUGUCUGCCCUAUUAACUUUUGAUGUUACUUUCUGUGCCUACCAUGGUGACCAUGGGUAGCGGGGAAUCAGGGUUCCAUUCCA